rfam:Xanthomonas fragariae strain PD5205 genome assembly, chromosome: 1
AUAUACCCUUCGCACUCGGGUUCCUCCGCGUCUUCCGCACCCACUUGACGAUUGCUCGCUACGUUUUGUUAGCC